rnacentral:rRNA from 1 species
CAAGUCGAACGAAGUCUUACCCUUCGGGGUAGGUGCUUAGUGGCAGACGGCUGAGUAACACGUGAAUGAUCUGCCUUUGGGUGGGGAACAACAGAGAGAAAUUCCUGCUAAUACUCCAUACGAUCCUCAAUCUAAGUUUGAGGACGAAAGGUGCCGGGUAACUGGUUUCCGCCCUUAGAUGAGUUCGCGGCCUAUCAGGUUGUUGGUGGGGUAAAAGCCUACCAAGCCGAAGACGGGUAACUGGUGUGAGAGCACGACCAGUCAGAGGGGGACUGAGACACGGCCCCCACUCC